rnacentral:misc_RNA from 1 species
UUUCCGUAGGUGAACCUGCGGAAGGAUCAUUAAAGUUAUAGUCCCCCGGCCCCUCCGGGCUGGGGUCUUCUAUACCACCCUUUGUUUAUUACACCUUUGUUGCUUUGGCAGGCCUGCCCUCGGGCUGCUGGCUCCGGCCGGCUCGUGCCUGCCAGAGGACCUAAACUCUGUUUGUAUAUGAAGUCUGAGUACUAUAUAAUAGUUAAAACUUUCAACAACGGAUCUCUUGGUUCUGGCAUCGAUAAAGAACGCAGC